UUGUCUGUGUGCCAGUGUCACUUCUUCAGUUGCCGCUGACAGGGCGACAGAUUCCAACCGGAAGUCGAGGGAGUCGGAAGGAAGUGCCUUUGUGGCUCCUCGCCGAGACAGUGUCAAAAGUUUAACUUUAGAUUUAUUUGCCAUUUAAUGCCGCUGCUCCCAUUCCCAGAACUGCAGCACGGCCAGGAGUUAUAGCGGAGUUGUAAAUCUCUCAGCUGUCUAAGCAGGUCAAUGCUCAGACAACAGCCCCACCAAGAGACUGCAUUUGCCUUCCACAAUGCAAUUGCAGCAGGAUCCCCGCCCACACAGCUGUCCGCAUAAAGGACAUUCAGGACUAGUGUGAGGUAGGCAUAAAAAUCGGAACCAUCUGGCAGCCCCGGCAACUCACGUGCAUUAUCUGUGGCUCGUUGAGCCUGUGAAAUGCAACAAGAGCAGUGCCUCGCCAUCUGAGUGCUCUCUCUCUCUCUCUCGGAGGACUCGUUCCUUGCUCUUUGCAGAGAUUCGUAUAAGAAGUGAGCAGAGGAGAGGAGAGCAGGGCAGAGGAGAGCAGCACAGCAGCAACCACAGACACUGUUACGGGAUCCGCGUUUUGGCCAGGACGAAGCGAGCGUGGCGACGAAAGGCAGCCAAUGGCUUCGAUUGGGAGCCAGUCAAACAUGGUCCAUCGACGGGAGAUGAACAGCACCGAGAGCAGCAUCCGCCAGCAGAUUCGCAAGCCAGUUCGCUGCCAGAAGCCAAAACCCAAGGCAAAGCCAGCCGAACCGGGCCAAUUCUAGGGGAACGCGAGUUUGUGAAGGUAGUGAGGUGAAACAAACGUGGAUGUGAGUCAGACGAGUCGCGCGGGAUGGCUAAGAAACAAUAGAUACGAGUAUGCCCGGACUGUAAAUGCCUUUUCAAAAGUGCCAGAAACACAUGUACAUAGAGUAAGGCGAAGCUGGAAACAGAACAUAAAGGAUAUUAUGUUGCUGCCAAAAUGAGUAGAAAGUUUGCAAAAAAUCGCCCCGAAAAUAAGCCAACAGCACAACCCGAGAAGUGAAACUGAAAAAGUGUUUUCCUCCACUAAACUUAACUAAGAGCGGCACCACAAUAAGAAAAUCAUAAUGAUGAUGGAUUAACUGAUCCCAGUUGUUGUUCAUGUUGUGCGAGUGAGACAGCGCGAGUGUGGGAGGAGCACCGGAAGUGGCAGCAGCAGCAGCAGCAUCAGCACCGCAGCAACAUUGCAGCAGCAGCAGCAACAGCGAAGGCGAAAUCAGGUUAGUAGAGGCUAGUUCUGGCCAACUUUUGCCGUUUUCCCGUUCUUCUCGUGGUCGCAUACCGUUUUUUUUCCGGCUUUGUGGGCCACUCAGCGACCACAGCUUGUGUAAAUCAUAAUUUAUGCAUUAAUAAUUAAAAUAUACACACAUAAAAAUAUCCGCACAGGCGGCUGCCGUCGGCGAGUGGGAAAGGUCAUUAAUCUUGGACAGCUUACACGGAGUUUCUGGGGGUCAGUACAUGGGAAAUUAUGAGCGAAAUUAGGUACGUGGCCAAAGAAACAAAGAACUGGUGAACUGGUGGUCCUUGGAGUGGGAGGAAUCCGCUUGUGCCCCCAUUUAAUUGAAAGAUGGUGAGCUGGUAAGGCUGCUUGCCACUCGCAGAAUCCCUGGUCUGAAAUUUUCAUGAGAAAUCAUGGCAGAAAUAGAAAUUCUAAUUGCUGCGAGGAAUUUCAAUUCCGAAAACUUUGGCAAAAUCCAACUGAAAUUGACAGCAGCUAUGUUGCCAUUUCGCAACGAAGGUUCGCCUCGUUUAGCCCCAAAUUCCAACGAACACUUUCAUCUGGGAAUCCCUGAGUCCUGG